rnacentral:tRNA from 1 species
GCCCAGGUGGCGUAAUUGGUAACCGUGCACGCUUGAGGUGCGUGUGGUCGCAAGACCGUGGAGGUUCGAGUCCUCUCCUGGGCA